rnacentral:other from 1 species
GCAGGGCUGCGGGGUGCGUGCGAGCAAUGCGACCCGGGGGCCUAUAAGAUCCGCACGGGAGCUGUCCCUGUCCGGGAUCGUGGUCUUGGACACACGGCGCCCACCUACAUCUCGUAGGGACCGCGCGGGAUCGCCGCUCGUACGGCUUUCGCGGCUCUGCU